UCAGUCUCUGAGCGAUGACAAGCCUCCCUUGUUUUUUUAUGGCUUUAUUACACAGACGGAACAUAACAUCCUUGGAAGAUGGAUCAAGUUUUGCUGCUGCUUAACAGCCUGAAUGGAAACAGGGAAAGCACCUUUGGAGUUGUGACCCACAACCUUGGAGGUGAAACAGUUUGACAACAGGUAUCACAUUUAGAAGAAAUACAUGGGCCUCAUUGGAAAUGGAAAAGUCCUCUGUCCUUCAUAAUGUUGCUGAAGAGGAAUAUUGAGUAGGUCAGCUUUUUGUGCAAGGAUCUUAGCUCAUCUGAGAAUCUCCAUUUUGUCCCCACAACAAAUGUGAUAUGCAGUGUAUACAGUAGGUGAGACUGGCUUGCCCAAAGUAAUCAGAGAACUUCAAGGAUAAAAGAGGACUUGAUCUGGGGUCUCCCCAAUCCUAGACCAACAUCUUUACCAAGAUAACACAUUGGAUCCUGAUCUGAAAACCAUCAAAACAAUGGACUUAACCUGAUCCUUCCUAACAACAUGUUCGUAAUCCAGACCAGUCUCUAUCCCUGGUGACAAUUUAGAACCAAAGGAAAUAUAUUUGGAAGUUCCACAUACAGAUCUUUUAUGUCAUGUUUUUGGCUCAAAACUGAAAAGCCAUUUGGGAAAGGAUACUAUUCAGCAGGGUCUUCAACCUCUUUUCACCUCUCGUUUGUUAAAUAUUAUACUUCCUGGAAUUAUUCAAGGGUAAACUAAUUAUGCUCCAGCUUUCAUAAUCAAAACCAGUUUAUCAAGGGGCGUGGGAGUUGUUUUCGUCACUUGAAAUGAGGAGAAACCUCUCUUUCCUCAUAGCACCUAAACCAAAGGAAGUUACAUAGACUCUGCCCUUUUUGCAUAAUGCCGAGGACAGUUUCCAAAUGUCUCCCUACACUCUUUGUCUUCCUGAGAUUCUAGAACCCAAAGAGAAAGGAAGCCAUGGUGGAAACCAUCCUAGCAACUUGGACAAUUCUCUUGGUGAUCCUUGCUGCAGUGCUAAUCAUGACCAUCCUCAUGUUUUUCCUUCCUGCUGUUGUACUGCUCUUGAGGAUGAGGUCUUUGUCACAGAUCUCUUUGGAUGGAACUGUCUAGCCUGCCUCUUUACAAAGUGUUGGGUGAUUUUAGAUGCCCUGGACAUUAAAAUUAAUGACAAUUAAAAUUAAGGAAUUAAGACCAGGAAAAGGAAGUCAUAUCCAAACCUGCCAUUAAAAAAACAGAACUUGAUACCCUGGACUGACUUACUCUUUGUUUGAAUUAGAUUCCUGAGAUUAUUUAAUGAGAAGCUAUCAAAGAGAUGCAAGGGGUCCUGUUAGUUAAAUAUGGUUCUUUAAAGGUAGGUCAGAUCCAUUUGUGAUGCAACUCAGCAUCUGCAAUUUGAGAUUCCUUGACUAGGUAAUUGUAUUUUAUCGACUAUUUACUCAACGUCUGUCAACUUACUCUUGUUAUUUUUAUAACCUUGAACUUCUGUUCUUAUCCCAUCAGAUGUAAAACAGGUGGUGAAGUUCUGUUUCAUUAAAAAUAAAAUCAUAUGUUCUGAGCCUGUUAAACUGAAUUUGAAAAAUGGGUUAGAUGAAAGUGAACGGCCUGCGGGUCAGAUGACGUGACUUCAGUUUGUAGCUGAAAAUAAAG